rfam:Oryza rufipogon genomic scaffold, chr04
CAAAAAAACAAACCCUGGUUUCCGUGCCCAACAUUUGACCGUCCGUCUUAUUUGAAAAAAUUAUGAAAAAAAUUAAAAAGACAAGUCACCUACAAAGUAUUAAUCAUGUUUUAUCAUCUAACAACAAUAAAAAUAUGAAUUAUAAAAAAAAAUUAUAUAAGACGGACAAUCAAAGGUUAGACACGGAAACGUAUAGUUCGUCCUUUU